rnacentral:tRNA from 1 species
GUAAAUAUAGUUUAACCAAAACAUUAGAUUGUGAAUCUAAAGAUAGAAGGUUCAAUCUUCUUAUUUACC